rnacentral:rRNA from 1 species
CACGAGUCUAAGGGCUCGGGAGGCGAGAAAGCCGGUCGCCAGUAGCCUCCUCUGACGCUCUCCUGCUCCUCUCCUCGAGGGUACCGCCUCCGCCGUGGCUUCGUCGCCUCGGGGCGGCGCGGGGCGGGGCAGGCCACGUAGCAAUUCGAUCCGCCUCGCCGGUAGUGCUUGUUCCCCCUCGACCUCUCGUAGCUACUCCUCUCGGACGCCAGCCGCACGCGCGUCGACGCCGUCCGGUACAGGCUGCCGUGGCGGGGCCUCUUCCAAUCCCCCUACCUGACCUCGUCCUCCGGGCCGCUAGGCCGGCUGGGCCAGCACCUGCGGCUCCCCAAGCGCCCAUACCGCCCCGACCCAGAGCUGUCAUUGAAGCAGCAGCAGGUGCCGCGUCCAAGAAAACCGGUGAAGGUUCGUUCAUCUAGACCUCAUGUAUUUCCUCCCAACGUAAGUUGUGAGCACUUCCGACCGAAACACCGAUGUUCUUAAAGUCACUGAAGAGAGUUGGUCCUUUAACAAUCUCGGAACCGUUCUCUUCCUUAUGGCAGACAACCCUACAGUGGUAAACGAACACCUACCAGAUGAGUCGCUUCUUUAGAACGUAGUCGGUUACGAAGAGUUUAGUAACUCAGUGAGGUACGACCGAAACAGGGACAAAACGUGCCUCUACGACAAGAACUACUUAGCGACCUGACGUGGUAUAACUCACCCCUACAGUAAUAUGCGGUGGAACGUGUCGAAGACUGAGGUUUUAUACAGCACAAAGACUGUCUACAAGUACCUCAUAUACUGGCAGGAGGUUGACUGGGUUUACGUCAUGAAGAGUUUCUCUAUCUCCAUCUACUGUUACCUCCGACCAGCUAACAUUUUGGACGUAAUCUUCCGUUGUCUUUUCCUCACCUCUAUAGUCAUCGGCGUGUGCUGUGGUGACCUCCUUACCUCUGGUUUUAUGAACUUCGACGGCACUAUCGAUCCGAACCUCAACUACACAUGUAAUGUUUCCAACUAUGUCUCGUGAGGGACUCUCGGAACUUCCCCCUACACUUGUGUUCGAGCCUACUAACCGAACCUUGACAAUAUGCGCGACGGUUUAUCUCAAGAACGGUGUCUUGUCUUCGUUGUGUUAAAAAUACAGCGCACCCCAAGCGACUACUCGUAACUACAAGCGGUCUACUAUGAAAUCUCAACAAACAGUCGACCUCACACACCACCUAAAAAACAGUAGUCAUGGUGUUUGGUUAUAUCAGAGUGCGGGAGUCAGUGCGGGGCCUGACUUCGUCUUCGCCUGUCUCUCCGUGUUCACGUCGUUGUUCUUGAACCUCCUCUUCUUCUUGACCUGGGUGUCCUCCUCGGUCACCUUAUCAGCAGUGAUCCUACACACUCAUACUGCACACCCGGAUUCGUUCCGACACCGCAAUUUCCACAUCGGCACUACCGUCACAUCCGUACAACAGUAAACUCUAUUAAAUCUAGGGAAGAGUAGGACUUG